UACGGUGAAUACGUUCCCGGACCUUGUACACACCGCCCGUCAAUCCAUGGAAGCUGGGUGUACCUAAAGUCGGUAACCGCAAGGAGCCGCCUAGGGUAAAACUAGUAACUGGGGCU
rnacentral:rRNA from 1 species